AGGUGAUCAAGUCAAUAUCUUGUAAGGGCAAUCCAAUCAAGAAUUUCUUUUACUUCGACGCCGCUGAUGGUAAAGGGGCCAUGGAGGACAUCCCCCCAACUCCUGAAGACUGAAUCACGUGAUACCUAACUCUCAUCCGACAUCGCUCGCUGAUAAUUGUACCCAAUCAUCAGAGUCGAACAUGUGACAACUCUAGUUCGGUGGCUGAGGCUGGAAACUCAACUUAGCAUUUUAGCGUUUUUAUUGUUGUACUUAGCGUUUUAGCGAUGGCAUCAUGCUAUGACACCUGAGAACUGCAUUAAACAGAAUUGACAUUCUCCUCCGAACAAUUUCAGAGCUGAAGGCAGGCAGGCUAUUGAAUGGUGAAAUGCUUUAUUCGUACUCUCCUCUUGCAUUAGUAGUGGUUAAUGAUUGCAAUACAAUAUAUCACACACACACGAUGACACGAUGAAAGAAUAAACAGUGGUACACUCUUCUUCCCUCGGUGCUUCCACAUUGUCAAUCGCCAACCAUCGUUGUCAAGUAUAGUCGUUUGUUGGUGAUUCUUGGAUGAACGGGUGCUGGAUUCAGACAUUUGAAUAUGCAUGGGUGUUCAAAAUGACAAAAAAAAUCAACAUGGAAGAAAUGAAAUCGAUGCCCGCACAAUUACUAGAUGUCCAAAUGGCUCUGCCAGUUACUCCUAAUUAAUCUGUUACAAUUGAUAAACACAUAUGAUUGAAAGAAUAAACAAUGGUACAAGAAAAGCCCAUGUUCAACUAUUGCUUCCACAACAGUGUUUUUUUUUUGGUUGCCGAUUCUCGGAUGCUUAUGCCAUCACCUCCUGAUGAAUCCAAGCAGGAACGCCAAGAUGAGCAUGAGAAUAGCAAAGAUGAAGCCCUUCCUGCCUAGUAGCCAGUCCUUUGUCUUCUUUGCUGCUUGGACUCCUCGCUGUGCUCUGCCGAUCCAUUUCAUCAUCGUUUCUAAAUCUUGUGGAGAGACCGAAGACAUAGCCUGUUGAGCGUCGGCAGCAUCCUCUUUGGACAACUCGAUACCAAACUGCCCGCUAAUGUUUGCCAUCGCUUCAGGGCUCAUGUUCUCCAUCAUGGAUGACAACAUCUCCCACAUAGCAGGGUCUGCCAUACCAACCAUGCCAGUCGGCAUAUUGGAUCCAAAAUGUGGAGCAACAGGGACCUGAGACAUAUUGAUCAAGCUUUCUGAAGAAUCAGACUGUCUCGAGCUUCGUGCUUCGUCGUGUGGUUGUGGUUGUGAAACAGUAUGCUCAGUAGUAGAAGAAGAAGAAUUCUGUUGAGCGGUUGACAGAUCAGAACUAACAUCUUCCUCUACGAUUUCUUCAAUAACAAGUCCCUUUGGCACGUUUUCUGCUGCCUCCCCUUGGGUUGCAAGUUUUUCUUGUGCCUCUGUCAGAACUUGAGCGACAGUUUCAUCGUCCGGAGACAUUUCAUGGGCUUUACUUAGGUCAGCAACAGCAGCCUGGAGGUUUCCCAGCUCCUUGUAUGCCUGACCCCUUCGGUAGUACGCUUUGACGGUGCCCGAGUCAUAGCUCAAAACCUCCGAGCCUUCGUUGACGCACUCCUCAAACUCGCCUAGUUUCAGGUAACAUGCCAUCAGAUUAACGCUGCACUGCAGCUGCAGAUCGCGCCCGACCGGCGACGGCACGCCGUUCUUCACGUUAUCCCUGGCGAGCUUGUACUUGGCGGCGGCGUCGGCGUACUGCCCGUCGCGGUGGAGCUGGUUCCCCUCCCGCUUCAGCGUCUUUGCGGCGGAUAUCGCGUGCGACGUCUGUGCGUCGGCUUGGGCCUUCAUGGCGGCGAGCUCCUCGGGCUUGGCCUUGGCGAUUUUCUCCGUCAUGUCAACCAUCUCUUCUGGGUUUGUUUGGUUCAGGUGCUCGGCGGCUCGCUUGAAGUCGUCGGCCGUCAUGUUCUUCAUGCUCUCGGUCGCGAGCUUCAGCAGGUCCGGGUUGGACAUGAGCUGCCGCUGCAUCCUGGCGAGGUCGUCGGCGGGUAUGCGCCGCAUCUGCUCCUCCGCCACCCGCAUCAUCUCCGGGUUCAUCAUGGCCAUGGCGACCCCGACAGGCAGAUCCAAGACGUCGACGAUGGAUGGAUCGACGCGAAGACCGGGAGCUCGAGGUUUUGGGAAUCACCUCUCGACGAGGUGUGUGUGUGUGUGUCGCCUUCUCUUUUCUUUUCCGUCGCUUCUGGUUUAGCUGUCGAUCCUUCAGCUCAUGCUGCAAUUUAUAGACGGGGGUUUGGGAGGGGAGACGAAAACCGAGUCCAAUCCGAAAGCGGAAUCACUCUCAGACGAUUCUAUGGACGCCAAACGCACAGGGGAACUGGGCCAGACCAUCAUCCUGUGCAGGCAGUUUCGUUUUUUGCUUUUUNUUCGUAACUUCAAAUAAUGUUCGGGAUUUUACAAAAAUGUUCGACAUUUUCAAAAAAUGUUCACGAUUUUAGAAAAAUGUUCACGAUCUUAGAAAAAUUACGUUUCUAGGUGUUAUCGAUGUUUGUGUUAUCUCGACACUUUAACCAAAGAGCGUCAUAUAGAAAAUUUCGUAUAGAAGAUAGAUACAACACCACGGAGCCUGCCAUUGAGACCUCAGACCAAAACAUAACCGUGGAGGAUACGUAUUGCAGCUCGCCAUUAGUAACUCAAUUAUCAGUGACGGGUGUUAGUUUGUGCAAACUGAUGCCCGCCACCGGUAAGUUUAUAGUAGUGGCGGGCAGAUGUUAGCAUCGUAAGUGGUAAUUUUUCAGAUUAACAGUGACGAAUGAGGGAGUCCGGGACCUUAGGGGUCCUCGGACCGCCGAUCUAUUUCUUGUGGUCCGAACACGUGCACCGUUGUGUGACUAUUCCUUGAAGGCUGUGCUAUAAGGCGACUCCGUGUUCAGGAAGAAACCUCCAAAGCCUUGGUGUGUUCUCCAAUUCAAGAUGGUAGAAUCAACAUGUUUAUUCUGUGAUGGAAACCGACCAUGUGUAACCAUAGGUAUCCCCGGUGUCUAUAUAAAGUGGAGGGUUUAGUUCGUAGGGGAGAGAACCAUCAUCCUACUCAUCUAGGGUUCAGUUCAUCUCUUCUCGUGGUAGAUAGACUCUGUAAUCAUCAUACACACAUCAACGUAAUCAAGCUGGACGUAGGGUUUUACCUCUUCGAGAGGGCACGAAUCUGGGUAAAUAUUGUUCCUGUGUUUCGUGUUCCUCAUUGAUCCAAGAUCCACAACUCGGGACCCCCUACUAGAGAUCUGCCGGUUUUGACACCAACAUUGGGUCUUCCAUUGGGAGUCCUGUUGUGGGAUCGCCAAAGGAUCGAUGGCUCGCCUAAUCAUUAGCAGAGACAUUUGCAGCAGAGAUGUAUUCAUCCCUGGACAGAUCUUCGCGUUCGGUAGCAUCGCGCGGCACGCUGAUUUGACCAUCCACUUGGGCCAGGUCAGAAGUUUCACCCCCGAUCAGGAGAUCAGGUUUGGGAACCUAGAGUUCAUCGCCGACUCCUGAGGUGAUCUGGUCCUUACUGGGCUCUCGGCCUCACCCCAUGAGCCUCGAAAUCCCUAAGCUUUAACUUCGGGCCCCGUGCUCGACCCCGUCUCUAGGUCGAUUCUUACCUUGGAUCCGGCUUUGAGCUCGGAUCCGAUUAUGGCAUCCGAAGACCAGGGGCCAACCUUGGCCGAGCACACUCCUUGUGCCGACACUCCAGAAUCCAACCCCGAAGGACUGGAAGACUAAUCCGUCUAACCUCUCGCUAUUGAAUGAGACGCUGGCUCGGAUCCACACAAUGAACAUUAUGGAUAGCUCGGCUCUGCCCUAUGAUCGGAUAGGAUUUGAGGCAAGACUCGGAGAAUUUUACGUCCCACCCACCACCCACUUGGUAGGCACUAUCAAAGAUUGACCGAUAUGUUGGUCUACACCUCUGAGGAGGCCGAGGACAUGGAUGAACAGGUCGACGCCACUACGCCUCCUCCCACCACUGGACGGUGGACAACCACCUCCACCUACGAUUCUACAUGAUGGACACCCCCAACGAUAAGGGCGACGACACCACUGGGAAGAGCAGCGAUGGAACCCCCGGAAGGAACGACGACAUGCCCGACCAGGAGCCGCCCAAGCGUCGAUGUCAGCAUUAAUGAUCCAAGGGGUGCAAGGGUAAGGGAAGCAAUAUGGGCGCCGGAGAAAAUGAUACCACAGACAAUAUGGAAGACCUCGGCAACCCUAUUGCCUCCAAACAACAACUCAAUGACUCGGAGGGGCACAAGGAUCAGUAUAACCCUGAGGACCUCAAUGACUCCGAGGACAUCAACUACCUUCUUCUCUUGGAACAGGAAGUUAGCCUCGAAGCCGAUGAUUGCAUCAUCCCCGAGGACCCGCUGGUUAAAGAACGGUUCAAGCAACAACUUAUAGCCAUCGCCCGAAGCCUGAAGAAGAAGCAGAAAGAGCUAAAAACCAAACAAGAUACCCUCAACGACAGAUGGACGAGAGUCCUAGCAGACAAAGAAGGGUACAUCAAUGAACGACUAGAUCAAAACAAAAAUUACCCGCACGGAUGUUUGAUGCCACAAUUCGACGAUGAGGCCCGUGAGCCCGCAAUCCCUAGACGCACUCAUACUAGCGACGAUGUAUACUGCCUCAAGGGCUUGGUACCAACGAUACAUGGCACAAAGGCAAUGCAAAAGGGGAAGAGCGGCCUGAUACGUCUCAAACCUAUCUAUAAUUUUUGAUGGUUUCACGCUGUUAUCUUGUCUUCUUUGGAUGUUUUAUGUACCUUUUUAUAUCUUUUUUGGGACUAACUUAUUAAUUUAGUGCCAAGUGCCAGUUCCUGUUUUUUCUGUGUUUUUGACUCUUUUCAUAUCUGAUUUUGGAAUGGAGUCCAAACAGAAUAAAAACCCCGAAAUGAUUUUUUCCCGAACGGAAGAAGAUCAGAGGGCCUCUGGGCCAAGCCAGGUGGGCUCCAGGGAGCCCACAAGCUCCCACUCCGCCACCAGGGAGGAGGCGGCGGUGUGAGGGCUUGUGGCCUCCCUGGCCGCCCCUGACCUAGAUCCUUGGCCUAUAUAUUCCCAAAUAUUCAGCAAAAAAUUAUGGGAGCCUCGAAAAUACUUUUCCGCCGCCGCAAGCUUACGUUUCCGCGAGAUCUCAUUUGGAGACCCUUCCCGGCGCCCUGCCGGAGGGGACUUUGGAGUUGGAGGGCUUCUUCAUCAUCAUCAUCGCCCCUCCAAUGAAUCGUGAGUAGUUCACUUCACACCUACGGGUCCAUAGUUAGUAGCUAGAUGGCUUCUUCUCUCUCUUGGAUCUUCAAUACAAAGUUCUCCAUGAUCUUCAUGGAGAUCUAUCCGAUGUAAUCUUCUUUGGCGGUGUGUUUGUCGAUAUCCGAUGAAUUGUGGAUUUGUGAUCAGAUUAUCUAUGAUAUAUAUUUGAGUGUUUGCUGAUUUCUUAUAUGCAUGAUUUGAUAUCCUUGUAAGUUUCUCCGAGUCUUGGGUUUUGUUUGGCCAACUAGAUCUAUGAUUCUUGCAAUGGGAGAAGUGCUUGGUUUUGGGUUCUACCAUGUGGUGACCUUUCCUAGUGACAGUAGAGACAGCAAGGCACACAUUAAGUAGUUGCCAUCAAGGGUAAAAAGAUGGGGUUUUCAUCAUUGGUUUGAGAUUAUCCCUCUGCAUCAUGUCAUCUUGCUUAAGGUGUUACUCUAUUCUUAUGGACUUAAUACACUAGAUGCAUGCUGGAUAGCGGUCGAUGUGCGGAGUAAUAGUAGUAGAUGCAGAAAGUAUCGGUCUACUUGUUUUGGACGUGAUGCCUAUAGAUAUAAUCAUUGCCAUAGAUAUCGUCACGACUUUGCGCAGUUCUAUCAACUGCUCGACAGUAAUUUGUUCACCCACCGUCUACUUGCUUUCAUGAGAGAAGCCACUAGUAAACACUACGGCCCCCGGGUCUAUUCACAUCCAUCGUUUACACCUCCUCUUUUACUUUGCUUUGUUACUUUGUUGCUUUCAGUUCUCACUUGGCAAACAAUCUAUAAGGGAUUGACAACCCCUUCAUAGCGUUGGGAGCAAGCUUUUGUGUUUGUGCAGGAUCUUGAGAUACUCUUCCACUGGAUUGAUACCUUGGUUCUCAAACUGAGGGAAAUACUUACCACCACUACGCUACAUCACCCUUUCCGCUUCGAGGGAACACCAACGCAAGGCUCCAAGGCCACGGGGGAAAUCCUUUGCAUACUUGCCUAGGAAGUCCCUUAAGGCGUAGCCACAGCUGAAGGAUUCCUGGCACCGUUGCCGGGGAAGAGGAUCGCUUGCCGAGGAAGAUCAAGACAAGAAUAAUCUCGCGUCAACACUCCUAUUUCUGGCGCCGUUGGAAGAUCUUUUGUUGCAGUAGCAAAAGUAUUUCUGGCGCCGUUGCCAGGGAGGAGAAAUAAAGAUCUAUCCAAGUAGGUCUCACAAACUCUUCUCUUGCAUUUACUUUUGUUGCCAGUUGCCUCUCGUUUUCCUCUCCCCCACUUCACAUUUGCCAUUUUCAUUUGCCUUUCUCCUUCGCCAUUUUUUUUGCCUUUUUGCUGUUUUCUUUUGCCCGUUUCACUCUCCCUUCCUGCUCGUUUGUGUGUGAGAUAGUCCAUCAAUGGCUAGACCCACCACUCAAAACGACACCCCUGAAAAUGAAGUUCUCAAUUUCAGGGAGAAUGAGGAAGAAAAUUUGAAGGACGCUUGGUACAGGAUUUGCAAUGCUCAAAGUAGAUCUACUCGUAAGCAAUCCACUACCGUCCUCCUUCGCAGUUUCUAUGUUGGAAUUUCUCCUUGGAAUAGGUAUAUCCUUGAUACCAUUGUAGGCGGGAACUUUUUGGGGAGCCAUACUGUUGACUCCUAUAGAGCUAUCAUGAAUUUGGUAGGCUCACCCCCGCUCAUGGUUAAUGGAACUAUCUUGACGUUGGAACACGUGAUGCAAAGGCUUGACGCUAUUGAAAACAAAAUUGCCACAGUUGAACUUAUUGAGGUUUGGAUAGAAAGAUCCACAAUCAAAUUACUUAGUACGAAUCCAAAGUGGGAUUUUUUUAAAAAAUUUAAAGGAGAAGGAACUUAUAGUUAAUGAUUCUUCUAGAAUUGGCAAAUUAGAAGAUGUCAUAAUCAACUUGGGUUCCGCUUUUGCCGCUGUGCAAAAUACUCCAAAUAUUACUCUCAAAAAGACCGUCAAGCCUGUUUUUGUUCCUAAAGCUAGUGGUGAGUCAUCUAAUAAAGAUGAAAAUCUUAAGAUGAUAAAUGAUCACACUACUUAUGGUUUGAGCACCAAAGAUGACUAUACGUGAUUCCAUCAAAUUUUGCCUAGCUAAGGGCGUUAAACAAAAGCGCUUGUUGGGAGGCAACCCAACGAAUUUAUCCUUUUUCUUUAUGUUUUGUGUUUUCCACACUUUCAUAAUUCUGUUAUGAUUGUGUAUUUUGUGUUUCUUUUUGUGUUUGUGCCAAGCAAAACCGUUAUGAUUAGUCUUGGGGAUGAUCGUUUGGUCAUGCUGGAAAAGACAGAAACUUUCUGCUCACGAAAAGAAUUUUCAUUUUUUUUUCUGUAAGAGCUUUUGAGUUGAUUAUUUUUGCUGCUCAUUGAUACGAAAAUUAUUGAGACUGUCGUAAUUUGUUAGAAUUUUUGGAGUACCAGAGGUAUACGAAAUAUACAGAUUGCUACAGACUGGUCUGCUGUUAACAUAUUCUGUUUUUGUUGUGUUGAUUGCUUAUUUUGAUGAAACUAUGGAUAAUAUCGGGGGGUAUUAGCCAUGGAAGGUUGAAAGUACAGUAAUCCAACAUCAGCACAAGUAGAAUUUAAGUUUGCUACAGUACCUAAGGAAGUGGUGGUUUGUUUUCUUGUACUAAUGUUAUCACGAGUUUCUGUUUAAGUUUCGUGUUGUGAAGUUUUCAAGUUUUGGGUGAAGUUCUUAUGGACAAAGAGAUAAAGAGUGGCAAGAGCUCAAGCUUGGGGAUUCCCAAGGCACCCCAAGAGAUUCAAGGAUGCCGUAAAAUCCUAAGCUUGGGGAUGCCCCGGGAAGGCAUCCCCUCUCUCGUCUUCAAUCCAUCGGUAACGUUACUUGGGGCUACAUUUUUAUUCACCACAUGUUAUGUGUUAUGCUUGGAGCGUCUUGUAUCGUAGGAGUCUUUUAUUUUUGUUGUGUCACAAUCAUCCUUGCUGCACACCUAUAGAGAGAUACAUGCACACACCAUGAUUUUGUCGAGCUUCACUUAUAUCUUUUGGUAGACAAUUCGGGUCACAUGUGCUUCACUUAUAUCUUUUGAGCUAGAUACUUUUGCUCUCUGUGCUUCACUUAUAUAUUUUAGAGCAAAGCGGUGCAUGACUUGGUAGUUGAUCUAUGCUUUGAAAGUAGUCUCAAAAGGGGUAGUUAUCCAAAGGGAUACGAAAACUUCCACGUUCAUGUGCAUUGAAUAGUUAGAGAAGUUUGAUUCAUCUCAAUUAGUUUUGAGUUGUGGUUAUGGUAAUAUUGAAGUCAUGCUAGUAAGGUGUUGUGGAUCUAGAAAUACUUGUGUUGAAGUUAGUGAUUCCCGUAGCAUGCACGUAUGGUGAAUCUCUAUGUGAUGAAAUCUGAGCAUGAUUAGUAUAUUGAUUGUCAUCCUUUGCGUGGCGGCCGGGAUCGCGCGAUGGUUUAUACCUACCAACCCUUCCCCUAGGAGUACGCAUUGAAUGCUUUUGUUUCGAUUACUAAUAAAACUUUUGCAACAAGUAUAUGAGUUCUUCAUGACUAAUGUUGAGUCCAUGGUUUAGAUGCACUUUCACCUUCCACCAUCACUAUCUUCUUAGUGCCGUGCAACUUUCGCCGGUGCACAAAACCCACCAUUUGCCUCCCUCAAAACAGCCACCAUACCUACCUACUAUGGCUUUUUCAAAGUCAUUCCGAGAUAUAUUGCCAUGCAACUACCACCAUGACAUGUGCCACCACGUCUAUAUUGCUAUUGCAUGAUCGUAAGAUAGCUAGCAUGAUGUUUCCAUUAAUGUCUAUGCCAUGCUAGAUCAUUGCCACGGUACACUACCGAAGUCAUUCCAUAUAGAGUCAUAGUUGCUCUAAGUUUUGAGUUGAAAGUGUGAUGAUCAUCAUUAAUGGAGCAUUGUCCCAUGUGAGGAAAUAAAAGAGGCCAAAGAAGCCCACAAAAAAAAGAGAGGCCAAAGAGCCUACCAAAUAAUAAAAAAAUGAGAGAAAAAGAGAGAAGGGACAAUGCUACCACCUUUUCCACACUUGUGCAUAUUAAGCACCAUGAUCUUCAUGAUUGAGAGUCUCUCGUUUUGUCACCACCAUAUAGCUAGUGGGAAAUUUUCAUUAUAUAACUUGGCUUGUAUAUUCCAAUGAUAGGCUUCCUCAAAAUUGCCUUAGGUCUUCGUGAGCAAGCAAGUUGGAUGCACACCCACUAGUUUUCUUUAAGAGCUUUCACAUACUCGUAGCUCUAGUGCAUCAUUUGUAUGGCAAUCCCUACUCAUUCACAUUGAUAUCUAUUGAUGAGCAUCUCCACAGCUCAUUGAUAUGCCUAGUUAAUGUGACUAUCUUCUCCUUUUGUCUUGCAACCUCCACCACAUUCCACACCAUCUAUAGUGCUAUAACCAUGGCUCACGCUCAUGUAUUGCGUGAGAGUUGAAAAGGUUUUAGAAAGUAAAGGUGUGAAACAAUUACUUGGCCAAUACGGGGUUGUGCAUGAUUUAAAUUCGUUUUGCAAUAAUGAUAGAGCAUAGCCAGACUAUAUGCUUUUGUAGGGAUAACUUUCUUUUGGCCUUGUUAUUUUGAAAGUUCAUGAUUACCUUGCUAGUUUGCUUGAAUUAUUAUUGUUUCCACGUCAAUAGCAAACUAUUGUUUUGAAUCUAAUGGAUCUGAACAUUCACGUCACAUAAGAGGAAUUACAAAGGACAUCUAUGCUAGGUAGCAUGAAAGCAUCAAAAAUUCAUUCUUUAUCACUUCCCUACUCGAGGACGAGCAGGAGUUAAGCUUGGGGAUGCUUGAUACGUCUCAAACGUAUCGAUAAUUUUUGAUGGUUUCACGCUGUUAUCUUGUCUUCUUUGGAUGUUUUAUGUACCUUUUUAUAUCUUUUUUGGGACUAACUUAUUAAUUCAGUGCCAAGUGCCAGCUCCUGUUUUUUCUGUGUUUUUGACUCUUUUAAGAUCUGAUUUUGGAACGGAGUCCAAACGGAAUAAAAACCCCGAAAUGAUUUUUUCCCGAACGGAAGAAGAUCAGGGGGCCUCUGGGCCAAGCCAGGUGUGCUCGAGGGAGCCCACAAUCUCCCACUCCGCCACCAGGGGGGAGGCGGCGGUGUGAGGGCUUGUGGCCUCCCUAGCCGCCCCCUGACCUAGAUCCUUGGCCUAUAUAUUCCCAAAUAUUCAGCAAAAAAUUAGGGGAGCCUCGAAAAUACUUUUUCGCCGCCGCAAGAUUCCGUUUCCGCGAGAUCUCAUCUGGAGACCCUUCCCGGCGCCCUGCCGGAGGGGACUUUGGAGUUGGAGGGCUUCUUCAUCAUAAUCAUCGCCCCUCCAAUGACUCAUGAGUAGUUCACUUCAGACCUACAGGUCUGUAGUUAGUAGCUAGAUGGCUUCUUCUCUCUCUUGGAUCUUCAAUACAAAGUUCUCCAUGAUCUUCUAGGAGAUCUAUCCGAUGUAAUCUUCUUUGGCGGUGUGUUUGUCGAGAUCCGAUAAAUUGUGGAUUUGUGAUCAGAUUAUCUAUGAUAUAUAUUUGAGUCAUUGCUGAUUUCUUAUAUGCAUGAUUUGAUAUCCUUGUAAGUCUCUCCGAGUCUUGGGUUUUGUUUGGCCAACUAGAUUUAUGAUUCUUGCAAUGGGAGAAGUGCUUGGUUUUGGGUUCUACCAUGUGGUGACCUUUCCUAGUGACAGUAGGGGCACCAAGGCACACAUUAAGUAGUUUCCAUCAAGGGUAAAAAGAUGGGGUUUUCAUCAUUGGUUUGAGAUUAUCCCUCUACAUCAUGUCAUCUUGCUUAAGGCGUUACUUUGUUCUUAUGGACUUAAUACACUAGAUGCAUGCUGGAUAGCGGUCGACGUGUGGAGUAAUAGUAGUAGAUGCAGAAAGUAUCGGUCUACUUGUUUUGGACGUGAUGCCUAUAGAUAUAAUCAUUACCAUAGAUAUCGUCAUGACUUUGCGCGGUUAUAUCAAUUGCUCGAUAGUAAUUUGUUCACCCACCGUCUACUUGCUUUCAUGAGAGAAGACACUAGUAAACACUACGGCCCCCGGGUCUAUUCACAUCCAUCGUUUACACCUCCGCUUUUACUUUGCUUUGUUACUUUGUUGCUUUCAGUUCUCACUUGGCAAACAAUCUAUAAGGGAUUGACAACCCCUUCAUAGCGUUGGGAGAAAGCUUUUGUGUUUGUGCAGGAUCUUGAGACACUCUUCCACUGGAUUGAUACCUUGGUUCUCAAACUGAGGGAAAUACUUACCACCGCUAUGCUACAUCACCCUUUCCGCUUCGAGGGAACACCAACGCAAGGCUCCAAGGCCACGGGGGAAAUCCUUUCCAUACUUGACUAGGAAGUCCCUUAAGGCGUAGCCGCAGCUGAAGGAUUCCUGGUGCCGUUGUCGGGGAAGAGGAUCACUUGCCGAGGAAGAUCAAGACAAGAAUAAUCUCCCGUCAACACUCCUCUUUCCGACGCCGUUGGAAGAUCUUUUGUUGCAGUAGGACGACCUCGGGAGGAAAACGGGAAAAAUAUUAGGUACUUAAGAUAAAAGUGCCCCACGAAUGUUUUCACGCCCCCACGAGGCGCAUCUACGUAACUAUUGGAAGAAGAGCGAGGAGGGAUCACAUUGGAGAGCCACUGUCGACGUCGUCAGUGGUCGUACCGCCAUCUUCACUGGACCCCUAUCCGACAUGAGUGAACUGUCCCAACACGCUUGCUACAUGGUCUUCCAUCGCCCCCAAGAUUGCCUUGAAGCUCCUCAAGGACCGGGCAUAACACCUGGUCGAAGUCCAAGUUGUGGCGACGCGUAGCAGGUUGCUCAAGAUGCGGGUCGACGCGUGGCUCAUGAGGUCAUGACACUCAGCAUCGUAGAUCUUGUUCCAUUGGACGGACCCUGCCUCAAGCUGCUCCACGAGCCUCGUGAAGAAGUCCAGGUAGCUGGAGUCACCGAUUUCCCAAGGGUUCUCCAUCCUCUGACGGAAAAGGCGGCAACGGCACAACGGUGUGCUACAUGAGCUCUUUGAACAUCUUGGAGCGCGCAUAUUGUUCCUCGCAUCUCUAGGCGGCUUCGUCAAAAGUACGUUGCACCUCAUCACAAAUGUCUCCCACCUACGCCUCAAGCUCCUCCAGGUUACGGUGCUCCGUGGCUUGGAGUUACGUCGUGCUCCGUUUCUCGGCCUCUAACGUCGCGAGCUGCUGUUUGAUUGCCGCAAUUUUGACGUUAAGCUUGCCUUACCUCUUCAUGAAGUGGUCCUCUUGCUUCUACAUGUUCUUGGAGUAGCUGUCGGAGAGGACCUGGGUCCUCCGCGCAAGCUCGUCAUGGGCGUACCUGUUGAUCUCCGCCUUGCACUUUGCAGCCCUCUUGCCGAGCGCGACGUUGGUUUUCGCAAGGCGUUCCUUGUAGAAAGCCUCGCUGGUCGCCACGACGCGAUCCAGGUUUUCGUGGUGCUCUCGCUCCCUCUCCUGCUCGAUGGUGGUGUGCAGCAGUUCACGCUCCCGGACCUCCAUGUCUAGCUUCAUAAUCGUCAUCAUGCCCUCAGGUUCGGCGACCGCCUCCUCGGAGGAGGCGAGUUGGGCCUCACAGUCUGUAGUGUGCUUCACGAGGGCCUCCUCCUCUGACGCCACCUCCUUGAGGCGUCGGGCGCCCUCGUCCGCGUCUUGGAUCGCCGCGUCCAGGAGCUCCUAUGCCUUCCGGAUGACUUCUUGCAUUCCCCCGUGCACCACCAGCCUUGUGGCGGCCCAGCUUGACAACCACAUGCAGCUACCGCCAGCCUUCCGCAAGGUGCUCCCGCUCCUGGCGGAGGAACUCCUCCUCGGCCAUUUGGUCAGCCUUCAGGGAAAUGAGGGCCGAUCAGGCGUGGUGCAGGGUCCUGUUCCGCAACAGGUUACUAUGUCUCACUAGGGAUAGUGCCGAGGACGCGCCCAGUCCCUCCGGCUCCGGCCCAUGUAGCCCUGAAGACCCGGGGGCUGCUGCGUCAUUAGGUUGGUCCAGGUCUCUUCCCGAGGGGACCUCGCUCCACUCUGGGCCGCCGAGAUCCUCCUCAACUUCCACCUCGACUCCCGCUCCAGCAGGCAGCUGGAUCGCGCGAGGAAGGCUGGGCGUGGUUGCCUCGAACUCGUGGCUACCUGGUGAUCACUCGAGGCUUGUGGUGGCCGCCAAGUCGGUGCCCACCUCCCCCUCGGCACGGUCCUCUUACGGAGGCCUGAUAACCCACAAGUAUAUGGGAUCGCGAUAGUUUUCGAGGGUAGAGUAUUCAACCCAAAUUUAUAAAUUCGACACAAGGGGAAUCUAAGAAUAUUUGUAGGUAUUAGCAGCUAAGUUUUCAAUUCAAUCACACAUUGAUGAGUAGCACAGUAAUAUGAUAGUUUUGAUAGUAGUGGCAAUAGUAGCAGCAACGGUAAUAGUGAUAACAAUUUUGUAGAAGUUGUAACGACAGUAGCAACAAUAGUAACUUAGCAAGCACAAUAUGUCGAAAACUCGUAGGCAGUGGAUCGGUGAUAUUGCUGGAUAAUAUUCAUCAUAUCACAGUCACAACAUAGGGCGACACACAACAUAAGGCGACAUAGAACUAGCUCCCGUUCAUCGAUAUAAUGUAGGCAUGUAUUCCGUAAAUAUUCAUACGUGCUUAUGGAAAAGAACUUGCAUGACAUAUUUUGUCCUACCCUCCCGUGGCUGCGGGGUCCAUAAGGAAACUAAGGGAUAUUAAUGUAUCCUUUUAAUAGAGAACCAGAACAAAGCAUUAAAACAUAGUGAAUACAUGAAAUCCUCAUACUACAAUAAUCAUUGGAAAAAAUCCCAUUUAUUGCCACUUUGGGGUAUGCGGAUCCUAACACGUAGUAGGAGCAGAUAACUUGCAAGAUCGAAUCAUGAACAUAGAUAUAAUGGUGAAAAGAGAAGCGUUUCAGAUCUGAAAUCAUGGCACUCGGGCCAUAGUGACAAGCAUUAAGCAUAGCAAAGUCAUAGCAGCAUCUGUCUCCGAACAUAGUGGAUACUAGGGAUCAAGCCCUAACAAAACUAACUCGAUUACAUGAUGAAUGUCAUCCACCUCUUCACUGACCAGCAAGCCUACGAAGGGAUUACUCACUGCCGAUGGAGAGCAUCAUGGAAUUAGCGAUGGAUGAGGGUUGUGUGACGACAAAGACCGAAGAUUCUCCUCUCCGGAGCCCCAAAUGGACUCCAGAUUAGGCCUCCUGAUGAAGAAUAGGAGGUGGCGGCGGCUCCGUAUCGUGAAAUCUAUUGGGGAACGUUGCAUGGGCAACAAAAAAUUUCCUACGCACACGAAGACCUAUCAUGGUGAUGUUCAUCUACGAGAGGGAGAUCGGAUCCACAUACCCUUGUAGAUCGCUAAGCGGGAAGCAUUAAGAAACGCGGUUGAUGUAGUGGAACAACUUCGUGAUUCAAAUCACCGUCGUCCCAGGAUUCAUCCUGAUCUAGCACCGAAUGGACGACACCUCUGCGUUCAGCACACGUACAACUCGAUGAUGAUCUCCGCCUUCUUGAUCCAGCAAGAGAGACGGGGAAGUAGAUGAGUUCUCCGGCAUCUUGACGGUGUGCCGGUGAUGGCGAUGAUCUAUUCCGCCCGAGCUCCGUAGAAAAUCGAUCUAGAGGAAGAACUACGAACUAGAGGUUUAGGGUUGCAUGUGGCAAAGUUGUGUCUCAAAAACCCUAAAACCUUAAGUAUAUAUAGGAGGAGGGGAGGGGCUAACCUAGAGGCUCAAGGGAGCCCCAAGGGCGUCGGACGAAGGGAGGAGGAGGGACUCCUACUCCAAUUCGGUUUGGAAGGAGGAGUCCCUUCCUUCUUCCCACCUCCUCCUUUUUUUUCUCCUUUGAUUUUCUUUCCUUAGCCGAAAUAGCCCUCUUGGGCUGGCCUCACCAGCCCAGGGUUGGUGCGCCACCCAUGGGCCUAUUAGGUUCUCUCCCGGGUAGGUGGCCCCUCCCAGUAAAACCCGGAACCCAUUCAUCACUCCCGAUACACUACCGGUAAUGCCCGAAAUCUUUCCGGAAGCCAAAUGAAACAAUCCUAUAUAUCAAUCUUUGUUUCCGGACCAUUCCGAAAACCCUCUUGACUUCGUGAUCUCAUCCGGAACUCCGAACAAACCUUCGGUCAGCAACACCUAUAACUCAACUAUACCGAAACGUCACUGAACCUUAAGUGUGCAGACCUUGCGGGUUCGAGAACUAUGCAGACAUGAACUGAGACACUCCCCGGUCAAUAUCCAAUAACGGGGCCUGGAUGUCCAUAUUGGAUCCUACAUAUUCUACGAAGAUCUUAUCGGUUGAACCUCUGUGCCAAGGAUUCAUAUAAUCCCGUAUACCAUUCCCUUUGUCCUCCGGUAUGUUACUUUCCCGAGAAUUUAUCGUCGGUAUCCCUAUACCUAUUUCAAUCUCGUUACCGGGAAGUCUCUUUACUCGUUUCGUAAUACAAGAUCCCGUGACUAACACUUUACUCACAUUGCUUGCAAGGCUUAUAUGUGAUGUUGUAUUACCGAGUGGGCCCCGAGAUACCUCUCCGUCACACGGAGUGACAAAUCCUAGUCUUGAUCCAUGUUAACUCAACGGACACCUUCGGAUACACACAUGGUAUUCCUACGGUGUCAGUGAGUUACAUGAUCUCAUGGUCAUAGGAAUGAAUACUUGACACGUAGAAAACAAUUGCAACAAAAUGACACGAUCACAUGUUGCGUUUAUAGUUUGGGUUUUGUCCAUCACAUCAUUCUCCCAAUGAUGUGAUCCAGUCAUCAAGUAACAUCACUUGUAUAUGGUCAGAAAACCUUAACCAUCCUUGAUCAACUCGCUAGUCAACUAGAGGCUUACUAGGGACAUUGUCUUGUCUAUGUAUCCACACAUGCAUUUAUGUUUUCAUUCAAUACAAUUAUAGCAUGGAUAAUAAACAAUUAUCUUGAAACAGGAAAUAUAAUAAUAACUAUUUUAUCAUUGCCUCUAGGGCAUAUGUCCAACAGUCUCCCACUUGCACUAGAGUCAAUAAUCUAGUCUCACAUCAUAUGUGAUUUACAUUGGAAUGAAUCUAACCCCAUACAGUUCUGGUGUUGAUCAUGCUUCGCUCGUGGAAGAGGUUUAGUUAGUCGAUCUGCAAUAUUCAGAUCCGUGUGCACUCUGCAAAUAUUUACGUCCUCUCCUUCGACAUAGUCGCGGAUGAGGUUGAAGCGUCGUUUGAUGUGUCUGGUCUUCUUGUGAAACCUUGGUUCCUUGGCUAGAGCAAUGGCACGAGUGUUGUCACAGAAUAGAGUUAUUGGAUUUAGUGUGCUUGGCACAACUCCAAGAUCCGUAAUGAACUACUUCAUCCAGACACCCUCCUUAGCCGCCUCCGAGGCAGCCAUGUACUCCGCUUCACAUGUAGAAUCUGCUACGACGCUUUGCUUGGAACUACACCAGCUUACCGCACCCCCAUUGAGAAUAAAUACGUAUCCAGUUUGAGACUUAGAGUCAUCCGGAUCAGUGUCAAAGCUUGCAUCAACGUAACCCUUUACGACGAGCUCUUCGUCACCUCCAUAAACGAGAAACAUUUCCAUAGUUAUUUUCAGGUACUUCAGAAUAUUCUUGACCGCCGAGUAGUGUUCCACUCCUCGAUCACUUUGAAACCUGCAUGCCAUACUUAUGGCCAGGCUGACGUCCGUUCUUGUGCACAACAUUGCAUACAUGAUUGACCCUACUGCUAAAGCAUAGGGGACGAUACUCAUCUUUUCUCUAUCUUCUGCAGUUACUGGACACUGAGUCUUACUCAAAUUUAUACCUUGUAACACAGGCAAGAACCCCUUCUUGGAUUGCUCCAUUUUGAACUUCUUCAAAACUUUAUCAAGGUAUGUGCUUUGUGAAAGUCCUAUUAGGCGCCUCGAUCUAUCUCUAUAGAUCUUAAAGCCUAAUAUGUAAGCAACUUCUCCUAGGUCUUUCAUUGAAAAACUUUUGUUCAAGUAAUCCCUUAUGCUCUCCAAAAACUCCACAUUGUUUCCAAUCAGCAAUAUGUCAUCCACAUAUAAUAUUAGAAACGCUACAGAGCUCCCACUCACUUUCUUGUAUAUACAAGAUCCUACAACAACUUGUAUAAACCCAAACGCCUUGAUCACCUCAUCAAAGCGCUUAUUCCAACUCCGAGAUGCUUGCACCAGUCCACAAAUGGAUCGCUGGAGCUUGCCUACUUUGUUAGCAUUCUUUGGAUCGACAAAACCUUCGGGUUGCACCAUAUACAACUCUUCCUUAAGAAAACCAUUAAGGAAUGCCGUUUUGACAACCAUCUGCCAGAUUUCAUAAUCGAAAAAUGCAGCUAUUGCUAACAUGAUUCGGACGGACUUAAGCAUCGCUACCGGUGAGAAUGUCUCAUCGUAGUCAACUCCUUGAACUUGUGAAAAACCCUUUGCCACAAGUCGAGCUUUAUGAACGGUCACAUUACCGUCCGCGUCUGUCUUCUUCUUAAAGAUCCAUUUGUUCUGAAUAGCCUUGCGACCUUCAGGUAAUACUUCCAAAGUCCACACUUUGUUUUCAUACAUAGAUCCUAUCUCGAAUUUCAUGGCCUCUAACCAUUUGUUGAAAUCUGGGCCCACCAUUGCUUCUUCAUAAUUCGUAGGCUCAUUAUUGUCUAACAACAUGAUAGAUAAGACAGGAUUCCCGUACCACUCAGGAGCAGUACGUGAUCUUGUCGACCUGCGAGGUCCGACAGUAACUUGAUUCGAACCUUCAUGAUCUUCAUCAUUAGCUUCCUCCUCAACUGGUGUUGCCUCGACAGAUAUUUCCCUCUACCCUGCGCCACCAUCCUGUUGGAGCAGAGGUUCCACAACCUCAUCAAGUUCUAUCGUCCUCCCACUCAAUUCUUUCGAGAGAAACUCUUUCUCAAGAAAAGCUCCGUUCUUAGCAACAAACACUUUGCCCUAGGAUAUGAGAUAGAAGGUAUACCCAACUAUCUCUUUUGGGUAACCUAUGAAGACGCACUUUUCUGCUUUGGGUUCCAGCUUUUCAGGCUAAAGCUUUUUGACAUAAGCAUCGCAUCCCCAAACUUUAAGAAACGACAACUUUGGCCUCUUGCCAUGCCAUAACUCAUAUGGUUUCGUCUCAACGGAUUUUGAUGGUGCCCUAUUUAAAGUGAAUGCAGCUGUGUCUAAUGCAUAGCCCCAAAACGAUAAUGGCAAAUUGGUAAGAGACAUGAUAAAUCACACCAUAUCUAGCAAAGUACGAUUACCACGUCCGGACACACCAUUACGCUGUGGUGUUCCGGGCGGUGUCAACUGUGAAACGAUUCCACAUUGUCUUAAGUUCGUACCAAACUCGUAACUCAGAUAUUCACCCCCUCGAUCAGAUCGUAGGAACUUAAUCUUCUUGCUACGAUGAUUUUCAACUUCACUCCGAAAUUGCUUGAACUUUUCAAAUGUUUCAGACUUGUGCUUCAUCAAGUAGAUAUAUCCAUACCUACUCAAAUCAUCAGUGAAGGUGAGAAAAUAACGAUAUCCGCUGCGCGCCUCCACACUCAUUGGUUCACACACAUCAGUAUGUAUGAUUUCUAACAAGUUACUUGCACGCUCCAUUGUUUCGGAGAACAGAGUCUUAGUCAUCUUGCCCAUGAGGCAUGGUUCGCACAUGUUAAGUGAUUCAAAAUCAAGUGACUCCAAAAGACCAUCUGCAUGGAGUUUCUUCAUGCGCUUUACACCAAUAUGACCUAAGCGGCAGUGCCACAAAAAGGUGGCGCUAUCAUUGUUAACUGUACAUCUUUUGGUCUUAAUGUUAUGGAUAUGUGUGUCAUCACAAUCAAGAUUCAAUAUGAACAAACCUCUCACAUUGGGUGCAUCACCAUAAAAGAUAUCACUCAUAUAAAUAGAACAACCAUUAUUCUUUGACUUAAGUGAGUAACCGUCUCGCAAUAAACAAGAUCCAGAUAUAAUGUUCAUGCUUAACACAGACACUAAAUAACAAUUGUUUAAGUUCAUAACUAAUCCUUAUGGUAACUGAAGUGAGAACAUGCCGACGACGAUUGCAUCAACCGUGGAACCAUUUCCCACGCGCAUCAUCACUUCAUCCUUCGUCAGCCUUCGUUUAUUCCACAGUUCCUGCUUCGAGUUGCAAAUGUGCGCAACAAAACCGGUAUCAAAUGCCCAUGCACUACUAGGAGAGUUGGUUAAGUACACAUCAAUAACAUGUAUAUCACAUAUACCUUGUUUAGCGUUGGCCGCCUUCUUAUCAGCCAAAUACUUGGGGCAGUUGCGCUUCCAGUGAUCCAUCCCCUUGCAAUAAUAGCACUCUCUUUCCGGCUUAGGUCCAGCCUUGGGGUUCUUUGUCGGAGGGGCAAUAGUUUUGCAGCUCUUCUUGGAGUUACCCUUCUUGCCUUUGCCGCUUUUCUUGAAACCAGUGGUCUUAUUGACCAUCAACACUUGAUGUUCUUUUCGGAGUUCUGACUCCGCGACUUUCAGCAUUGCAAAUAACUCGUCGAGUGACUUAUUCAUCCCUUGCAUGUUAUAGUUCAACACAAAGCUCUUGUAGCUAGGUGGCAGUGAUUGAAGAAUUCUGUCAAUGAUAGCGUCUUACGGGAGUUCAAUCCCCAGCUCAGCUAGACGGUUUGAGUACCCAAACAUUUUGAGCACAUGUUCACUGACACACGAAUUCUCCUCCAUUUUGCAAGCAUAGAAUUUAUCGAAGGUCUCAUACCUCUCGAUCCGGGCAUUCUUCUGAAAGAUAAACUUCAACUUAUGGAACAUGUCAUAUGCUCCAUGACGUUCAAACCGUCGUUGAAGUCCCAGUUCUAAGACAUACAAGACUGCACAUUGAACUACUGAGUAGUCCUCCUUAGUGCUUGUCAAGCGUUCAAAGCAUCUUGUUCAGACGUAGCAGGUGGUUCAUCUCCUAGCACUGCAUCAAGGACAUAAUUCUUUUUACCAGCUUGUAGCAUAAGCCUCAGAUUACGAGCCCAGUCUACAAAUUUUCUACCAUCAUCUUUCAGCUUAGCUUUCUCUAGGAACAUAUUGAAAUUCAGGGUUGCUACUGCGUGAGCCAUUGAUCUACAACAUAAAAUAUUGCAAAGUUUACUUAGACUAUGUUCAAGACAAUUAGAGUUCAGCUAAUCAUAUUACUAAUAAACUCCCACUCAAAUAGACAUCCCUCUAGUUAUUUGAGUGUGGCAUGAUCCAAAUUCACUAUGUCAAGUCCGAUCAUCACGUGAGUUGAGUGUAGUUUCAGUGGUAAACAUCUAUAUGUUAAUCAUAUCAACCAUACGAUUCAUGCUCGACCUUUCGGUCUCUUGUGUUUCAAGGCCAUGUCUGUACAUGCUAGGCUCGUCAAGUUUAACCCGAGUGUUCUGCGUGUGCAACUGUUUUGCACCCAUUGUAUGUGAACGUUGAGUCUAUCACACCCGAUCAUCACGUGGUGUCUCGAAAUGACGAACUGUCGCAAUGGUGCACAGUCGGGGAGAACACAAUUUUAUCUUGAAAUUUAAGUGAGGGAUCACCUUAUAAUGCUACCGUCAUUCUAAGCAAGAUAAGGUGCAUAAAAGGAUUAACAUCACAUGCAAGUCAUAAGUGACAUGAUAUGGCCAUGAUCUUGUGCUUCUUGAUCUCCAUCACCAAAGCACCGGCAUGAUGUUCAUCUUCACCGGCACCACACCAUGAUCUCCAUCAUCAUGAUCUCCAUCAACGUGCCACCAUCGAGGUUGUCGUGCUAUCUAUGCUAUUACUACUAAAGCUACAACCUAGAAAUAUAGUAAACGCAUCUGCAAGCACAAACGUUAGUUCAAAGAAAACCCUAUGGCUCCUGCCGGUUGUCGUAGCAUCGACGUGCAAGUCGAUAUUUAACUAUUACAACAUGAUCAUCUCAUACAUCCAAUAUAUCACAUCAUGUAUUUGGCCAUAUCACAUCACAUGCAUACCCUGCAAAAAGAAGUUAGACAUCCUGUAAUUUGCUGUUGCAUAUUUUAGGUGGCUGCUAUGGGUAUCUAGUAUGAUCGCAUCUUACUUACGCAAAACCACAACAGUGAUGUGCAAAUUGCUAUUUAACCUCUCUCCAAGGGCCACCUCGGUCAAAUCCGAUUCAACUAAAGUUGAAGAAACAAACACCCGCCAGUCAUCUUUAUGCAACAAGUUGCAUGUUAGUCGAUGAAACCGGUCUCUCGUAAGUGUACGAGUAAGGUUGGUCCGGGCCGCUUCAAUCCAACAGUUCCGCCGAAUCGAGAAAAGACUAAGGAGGGCAUCAAAUCGAACAUCAACGCCCACAAAAACUUUUGUGUUCUACUCGAGAUUACAUCUAUGCAUGAACCUAGCUCAUGAUGCCACUGUUGGGGAACGUUGCAUGGGAAACAAAAAUUUUCCUACGCACACAAAGACCUAUCAUGGUGAUGUUGAUCUACGAGAAAGGGAGAUUGGAUCCACAUACCCUUGUAGAUCGCUAAGCGGGAAGCGUUAAGAAACGCGGUUGAUGUAGUGGAACAACUUCGUGAUUCAAAUCACCGUCGUCCCACAGUCCGUCCCGAUCUAGCACCGAACGGACGACACCUCCACGUUCAGCACACGUAUAGCUCGAUGACGAUCUCUGCCUUGUUGAUCCAGGAAGAGAGACGGGGAAGUAGAUGAGUUCUCCGACAACGUGACGGCGUGCUGGUUAUGGUGAUGAUCUAUUCCUGCAGGGCUCCGCCCGAGCUCCGUAGAAAACCAAUCUAGAGGAAGAACUACAAAGUAGAGGUUUAGGGUUGCACGUGGCGAAGUUGUGUCUCAAAAACCCUAAAACAUUUAGUAUAUAUAGGAGGAGGGGAGGGUCUAGCCUUGAGGCUCAAGGGAGCCCCAAGGGCAUCGGCCGAAGGGAGGAGGAGGGACUCCUACUCCAAUUCGGUUUGGAAGGAGGAGUCCCUUCCUUCAUUCCCACCUCCUCUUUUUUUUCUUUCUCCUUUGAUUUUCUUUCCUUGACCGAAAUAGUCCUCAUGGGCUGGCCUCACCAGCCCACCAAGGGCUAGUGCGCCACCCAUAGGCCUAUUAGGUUCUCUGCUGGGUGGGUAGCCCCUCCCGGUAAAACCAGGAACCCCUUCGUCACUCCCGGUACACUACCGGUAAUGCCUGAAAUCUUUUCGGAAGCCAAAUGAAACAAUCCUAUAUAUCAAUCUUCGUACCUGGACCUUUCUGGAAACCCUCGUGACGUACGUGAUCUCAUCCGAGACUCCGAACAAACCUUCGGUCACCAACACCUAUAACUCAACUAUAUCAAAACGUCACCAAACCUUAAGUGUGCAGAUCCUGCGGGUUUAAGAACUAUGCACACAUGACCUGAGACACUCCCCGGUCAAUAUCCAAUAGCGUGACCUGGAUGUCCAUAUUGGAUCCUACAUAUUCUACGAAGAUCUUAUCGGUUGAACCUCUGUGCCAAGGAUUCAUAUAAUCUCGUAUACCAUUCCCUUUGUCCUUCGGUAUGUUACUUUCCCGAGAAUUUAUCGUCGGUAUCACUAUACCUAUUUCAAUCUCAUUAUCGGAAAGUCUCUUUACUCGUUCCAUAAUACAAGAUGCCGUGACUAACACUUUAGUCACAUUGCUUGCAAGGCUUAUAUGUGAUGUUGUAUUACCGAGUGGGCCCCGAGAUACCUCUCCGUCACANNNNNNNNNNNNNNNNNNNNNNNNNNNNNNNNNNNNNNNNNNNNNNNNNNNNNNNNNNNNNNNNNNNNNNNNNNNNNNNNNNNNNNNNNNNNNNNNNNNNAGCUUCUCAUGAUCAGUGAGGAGUGUAUCAUAACGAUCCUGAAGAAUAUCAAAUCUAGACUGAAGAUUUUUCAUGUCAUCAGUGAGGAUUUGAUUAAGAUUCAUUUCUUCAUUCAACAGAUCAUCACUUUUGUCUAGCAGUUUUUGAAGCUUUUCCAGAGCAGUUUGUUGUUUAGUGGCAAUGAUGGCAAGUUUACUGUAACUGGGUUUUUUGUAAUCAUCAUGUUCAUAGUCACUUGAAUCAGACGAGGAGGUAUUAUGUGAUACCUUUGAACCUUUUGCCAUGAAGCAAUAGGUUGGAGCGAAGUCAUCAGCAUAGUCAUCAGUAUGGAUGGUGCACUCAUUUUCUUCAAUAUUGAAGAUUGACUUGCUGACGAAAUUGGUUGCUAGUGCAAGACUAGCCUGUCCGGAUUCUGAAUCUUCUCCAGAGCCUUCUUCAUCAUCACAUUCUUCUGAUUCUGCCUCGGAAUCCAUUUCCUUGCCAAUAAGUGCCCGAGCCUUUCUGAAGCUAGUCUUCUUGUGUGAGGAAGACUUUGAAGAUGAGAAUUUUGAGGAUUUCUUCUUCUUCCUUGAGUCAUCAGAACUGUCAUCCUUGUAUUUCUUCUUCUUUGAUUCCUUUCCCCAGCGAGGACAAUCAGCAAUGUAAUGACCUGAUUUCUUGCACUUGUGACAGGUCCGUUUCUUGUAGUCCUCAGAUGCAGAUUCUGAUUUCCUCAUGUCUCUUCUUGAUGAUUUACCGAACUGGCCUCGUCGUGUAAAUCUCUGGAAUUUCCUCACAAGCAUUGCAAGCUCCUGUCCAAAUUCUUCAGGGUCACAACUGCUGUCUUCUGUUUCUUCUUCAGAUGAGGAAAUUGCUCUAGCCUUCAGUGCUCGUGGUCUGGAAUAGCUUGGUCCAUAUAGAUCUCUCUUUUCUUCUUGCUGGAAUUCAUGAGUAUUUAGCCUUUCAAGAAUAUCAGCUGGAUCUAGCAUCUUGUAGUCUGGUCUUUCUUGAAUCAUCAGAACUAGAGUGUCAAAUGAAGGAUCCAAGGAUCUCAGUUGUUUCUUCACAACUUCGUGAUCAGUGAUGUCUCGAGCUCCCAGUGCUUGCAGUUCAUUUGAUAUAUCAGUGAGGCGAUCAAAGGUGUCUUGGCAGCAUUCAUUGUCAUGUCUCUUGAAGCGAUUGAAGAGAUUACGAAGAAUAUCAACACGAGAGUCACGCUGGGUUGAUACUCCUUCAUUUACCUUGCACAAUCUCUCCCAGAUCAGUGUUGCAGAUCCCAAAGCACUUACUCUUCCAAACUGACCUGGGCUCAAAUAGGCACAGAUGAUGUUCUUCGCUUGAGAAUCGAGUUGCUUAAAUCUCUUCACAUCAGCUGCAGUGAAACUAGCAGAAACGAGGGGAACGCCAUUUUCCACAAUAUACCAGAGAUCAUUGUCAAUUGCUUGCAGAUGCAGUUGCAUUUCAUUCUUCCAGAAAGGAAAGUUCUUCCCUUCGUAGGUGGGACAUGGUGCAGUCACCUUGAACAUGCCUGCAGUCGACAUAACUAAAACUCCAGGUGGUUAAACCAAAAUCACACAGAACAAGGGAGUACCUUGCUCUGAUACCAAUUGAAAGUGCGUUAUAUCGACUAGAGGGGGGUGAAUAGGAGAUUUUUAGAAUUUCAUCACUGAGGAAAUUCCUUUUGAGGAAAUUCCUCAAUGAUGACUAACUUACAGCGGAAACAUUUAAGGAUCAGUUUUGCAAUCGUUCACAAUGGCAGUAUUACAGAGUGAAGAUUAUGAAAACAGAUUGCACAGCAAGCAGGCACGCAGAAUACAGAUGAUGAUUUACUCAAGUGAAGAAUUUGGGGUUGAGGAAAUUCAGAGAGAGUCUUCAGCAAAUUCUUCAAACAGUCACAGUGAAAGUCAUCAACACAUAAUACAGAGAAUGUAAAGAGUUGAGGAAUUAGAACCCGAUUCUUGGUGAAGACUGUCGUUGAUGACCCAGUUCCAACUGCUGUGACAGUUAUACAUCUGGUUUGGAGCGGCUUGGUAUUUAAACCAAAGGACACCCAGUCCCGGGACACACAGUCCCUACCAUAUUCUCCUUGAGCUAAGGACACACAGUCCUCGCCCAACACUCGUGGUAAGUCUUCAGGGCAGACUUCCAAACCCUCACAAACUCGGUCACCCAACGAUCCACAAUUGACUGCUGGAUUGCUCUAGACCAUGACGCCUAACCGUCUGGAGGAUGCACAGUCCUCAAAGGUAAAAGGCUUCAGUCCCACACAGGAACAACUUCUUCAGUGAUGCUCAAUCACUAGAUUUGGUUUGUGGUUUCGGUGGGUGGUGUAUUUCCUCACUGAUGAUUUACUCUAGAAAGCUCUGAGGAAUUGGGUUGCUCUUAUGACAAGUGUCAGUUUCUAGCGGAGCAGCCAACCAGCUAGUGGUUGUGGGGGCGGCUAUUUAUAGCCUGGGAGCAUCCCGACAUGAUUUGACAUUAAUGCCCUUAAACAAUAUGACCGUUGGAGUGGAUAAGAUCAGUGACUUGGCGUGGCUUAUCGAACCGGUCGGGACUCUCAACUGUGAGAGUCCUCAUGUCACUCAUAUUCCUCACUUGAGGCUUUUGGUAGGAUUUGGCUAGGGUUGAGCAUCAUGAGGAAAUCCAUUCCAUAGUGUUACUUUGACCCCCUUUAACAGUACGGUGUUCCUAUUCAUCAAAUGCGAAGAAAGUAAAAUAGAAAGCGAAAAUCUUCACGCUUCAAUUUCUUCAGAACGAUUUUCUUCAGGAAUCACCGAUCUUCUCAAUAUCAAUAUCUUCAUGAGGAAUAUCAAUUUCAUCGCAAAUUCUUCGCGAUUCAUUUCUUCAGCUUCAGACCAAUUUCUUCAACUGAAGACAUAUAUUUUAGGGGUCGAUAUUCUUCAAAUAUCUCAAACUCCUCAAUGACUUAUAGAUCCUGUGUACACUUAAAAACACAUUAGAUAUUUAACCUAUAAGUCUUCAAACCACCAAAAUCACUAAGGGGCACUAGAUGCACUUACAGCAGUUUCAUCAGCUGGUGCAGCUGAUCCUUGUGCAGUGUCUUCCUGAGGAAUGGAGGGCUCAGGACUGUCGUCAAUACGAAUUUCUUCGUCAGUAUGUUCCUCAACUGCAGCAUCCUUCAUUUCCUCAUCUCGCCCUUUCUCCUGGUCUUCAAAGGUGACCAUUUCAUAUGAUGGAGCGAUGUUGAGGGGAACAGGGUCUAGUGGAGCAUUUUCUUCAAGCGCAUUGAGGCGCUUGGCCUCGGUGUUUUCUUCUGCUGAGGAGGCCUUUCUCUUUUUGGCUUUGUUCUCAGCAGCCCUGGUCUUCUUCACGGCUGAUGCAGACGGAGUCAUCUUCUUCACCUUUGAAGCUUUUGGUGAAGGGGUUCUCUCGACAGAUUCAUCAGCUGGCUUUGAGGAACCAGCUGGAACAGAGUCAUCAGCUUUCUUUGAAGCAGCAGCUGGAUCAGGGGCAGUCUCACCAGCUGUAGCAGAUUCAUCAGCUGGAUUUUCCGUGGUGAUUUCUUCAAUAGCCGGUACAUCCACAUGGCUUUCUUGGGGUAUUUCCUCGGCUUGAGGAGUUUCAUCAGCUUGAGGAGAUUCAUCGGCUGGUUCUUCAAUCAGAGGCUGAGGAGUUGGCACUGGAGGGGCAGCCUUCUUGUUGUAGUCGUCAACAGCUUUAGUGGCAAAUUUUAUGAAACUGCUCUUAAGACUCUAACGAUCAGAUAGCUUGGAGUACUUAUCAGUCAAAGUCUUCAACUCAGCCUGUGUUGACACAAGUGCAUCACGCAUCAAGUUGAGGAGAUUCUGCUUGAGGAAUUUCUCCUUUUUGAGCUUAGCAACCUUGGCCUGCUUCGCUUGCUGCUCCUUCCACUUGGCCUCGUUGAUGAAUGUGGCCACCAUGUGGCUGAUGCCAGGGGAAGUUUCAAAUCAUCAAGCGGAGUGUUGGGGUCCUCAUACCAGAUGUUUAUGUAGUCUAGGAGGACCUUGGGAUCCAUGGCCACAGGAAUGGCGCUACCUGAAGCUUGAGCUUCCCUCUCCUGCUUGUUUCUGAUUAUAGCUUGCAGGGUUUCAUCAUCAUAUCCAUCACUACCCUCUGAUGCAGACGGGACUGUGAUGAUUUUGCUGGGGCUUGGUUGUGUUCCUUUUUCAGCAGACACCUGAGUCUUCACAGGAGGUGGUGAAGACUUUGUCUCCGAGAUGGUUGCAGCUGGGAGUGAGGAGCUGGAGGUAGCGGGCAGUGGCUUCAUGACCGGCUUCAGUUCUGGUUUUGAAACCUGUGGUGGAGCUGAGGAUUUUGGCGCUGAGGGUUUUGUAACUGAUGCCUGAGCUGGUUUCUCUUGAGGCUUUGGAGCCCUUGGUUUUGACGGCACAGACUUUGGUUGAGGAAUUGCUGAACCAGAGGUCUCAGCGGCAGAGGAAGUAGCUGCAGUUGAAGCAGCAGCUGAGGAUUCAUUGAAUUUCCUCACUGCAGCAUCUGCCUGCUUCUUAAGCUUAGCCAAGUGCUUGUCCUUUUCAUCAGGAUAGUCAUCAAGGGUCUUGAGGCUUGAGGGAUGUGCUACUUGAUGAGCCUCAAGUGGAGCCCGUUUUCCAGGAGGCUUCAGAGCGAAUUUCUUCGCAUACUUGGCAGUGACAAAUCUGUAUUCCUUCCAUUCCUUAGCCCAUCGGCGUUUCUAUCUUCUGAAGCCGAAUCUUUCUCUUGGCCAUUGUUUCAUUUUCAUCAGGUGUGCAAUAGUCCAAGUAAAUAUCUUCAGGGAUAUCCAAUGUUGUAUUCUGCUCAAGUUUCUUGCAUCCCUUCUGUUUUCUUUCAUCCUCCAUUUUCUUCAGCAGAGGAUUUUCCUGAUGAGAUUGAACUCUUGAGGAUUCUGAUGAGACUUGAAGAUUUUCUUCAAGAAACGCUGCAAAUGAGUUAAUGUGAUGAGAACCGAGGGAUUCAUCAGCUGACAUGUGUGUACCUGUGAACAGAGUAUAGUUGCGAGGAAUUUGGAGAGGUCAUAUGCGUUCUCAAAUUUGAAGAAAAUGAAAAAGUUUGACAGUUGAGGAAUUUAACCAGUGGUUGAGAAAUUUUCCUAAGCAUAUUGUUCUUAGGUUCCAGAGUUGUACAGAUCCGGCAAUUCGCACAAUUGAGGAAUCUCGUGAAAAUCUUAGAUGCUUAGUGAAGUUCAUCAACAGUGUGGUGAUAGGCAGUGUUUGAGGAAUCAGAUGCAUAUGGAUUCUUGAGGAAAAUCAGAUUUCACAUCUCACAUGUAAAAUAGUAGAUCUAACUUGCUGUAAAAAUAGGGUUUUAUUCACCCUAGAUGGCGCGCACGAAGAACAGAGAAGUGUUGCAGAGAGAAGCCCUUCGGUGCGUGUCCAAUGCGCCCUAACCCGGUAGCAGAGGACGUCUACGGCGGCGGCGGAUGAAGAUGGUCCGACUCCGGUGUGGUUUCGGCGACGGAGAAGUGUUGCAGAGAGAAGCUCUUCUUCGCCGACGAUGAGACUUCCGGCGGUGGCGCUAGGGUUCGGGUCUUUUGCUGUAGCAGGAGAGCGAUGGAGCGAAGAAGUGUUUGCCGAGGGGGAUAAGGACAUAUUUAUAGCCAGGCAGUUACUGUCGGCGCGAAGAAUUCGGACCAAACAGCCCGUGCCUCUACGUCUCCGCACGACACGUGUAGCUCCCGAGCAAGGCGGUGGAGAUAGUGGAGAUCAUGGUUAUCCGAAUGUGGGAAGUGGGGUUCACUUACUGUGCAUAAAAAAGCAUUUUUGAAGAUUUGAGGAUUUUGUUACAAAACCAUCAGCUGACAAGGACGCAGUGAGGAUUUUGAACAAAGUUUCAAGUAGAACGCAUAUGAAGAAUUGAAUAGACUGGAUGAGAAUAGCAUAGAGGGAAAGUAGGGUCCGAUCACAUUCACUUAGAUGUUGAAGAAAUAGCUAUAAGUGAAUGCUGUUGAGGACUUGAAAUCACAGUCUAUCUAGUCCAAUGAAAGUCAUCAAGUGUUUUUGAAGAACAACUGUUUUGAAGAAAAACACAUUUUGAGGAAAUAGAACAUUAAAGAAAUUCAAAUUGAGGAAUUUCAUGUUGGGCGGUGGCGUGACCCACCAUAUAAGAAUGUUGAUUACAGACGCCGCGUACAAUUGUCGUAGGGCCUUGAAAAUCAAUUUCUUCGUUGAUUUCUUCACAUUCAGAGUGAUAUUCUUCAUCAGUUGAAGAAAAUCGAUUCAUCAUGUGUUGCACAUCUAAGUCAUCAAUUUUGCAUAAGUGUUAGGAUGUGUGCAUGUUUUUACAAAACAUUUGAAGAUUCUAAGAUAUUUAGCUCACACCGCAACUUGCAAAACCUUUUCUCAUCCAAGGGCUUAGUGAAGAUAUCUGCUAGUUGAUCAUCAGUCUUCACAUGGUCGAUGAGGAUAUUGCCCUUGAGGACAUGGUCCCGAAGAAAAUGAUGACGAAUCUGGAUGUGCUUAGUCUUCGAGUGUUGUACUGGGUUGUAUGCAAUCUUGAUUGCACUCCCAUUGUCGCAGUAGAGAGGCACAUUCUUCAUGUUGAUGCCGUAGUCCUUGAGGGUUUGCUUCAUCCAUAGUAAUUGAGCACGGCAUGAACCAGCAGCAAUGUACUCAGCUUCGGCAGUGGAGAGUGAUACGCAGUUCUGCUUCUUUGAGGACCAGCAAACUAGUGAUAUUCCGAGGAAAUGGCAUGUACCAGAAGUUGACUUGCGAUCCACACGAUCACCAGCAUAGUCCGAAUCAGAAUACCCUACCAAAUGAAGAUUGGAGCCCUUGGGAUACCAUAAUCCUAGUGUUGGUGUAUGAGCUAAGUAUCGAAGAAUAUGCUUCACAGCCUUAUGGUGUGAUUCCUUCGGUUUUGCUUGAAAACGUGCACACAUGCAAACACUAUGCAUUAUAUCUGGCCUAGAUGCACAUAGAUACAAUAAAGAGCCAAUCAUAGAGCGAUAUACCUACUGAUCAAAUUCUUUACCAUUUUCAUCAGUGUCGAGGUGGCCGUUGGUAGGCAUUGGAGUCUUGGCACCUUUGCAUUCAUGCAUGUCGAAUUUCCUUAGAACAUCCUUGAGGUAUUUCUCCUGUGAUAUGAAGAUUCCAUUGCGUUGUUGACGAAUUUGAAGACCUAAGAAGAAUUUCAGCUCCCCCAUCAUAGACAUUUGAUAUUCUUCACUCAUCAUGUAAGCAAAUUCAUCACUGUAUCGUUUGUUAGUACAGCCAAAUAUGAUAUCAUCGACAUAUAUUUGGCACACAAAUAGCUCAUUAUCAUAGGAUUUAGUGAAAAGAGUUGGAUCGAGUGAACCAGGUUUGAAGCCUUUCUUCAUGAGGAAUUCCUUCAAUGUGUCAUACCAUGCCCGAGGGGCUUGCUUGAGACCAUAGAGUGCCUUUUUGAGUCUGAAGACUUUGUCUGAAUUCUUUGGAUCCUCAAAACCUGGGGGCUGAGCAACAUAUACUUCUUCCUCAAGAUUACCAUUGAGGAAUGCACUUUUCACAUCCAUUUGAUAUAAGAUGAUGUUAUGAUGAUUAGCAUAAGCAAGUAGUAUUCGAAUAGCUUCAAGUCUAGCAACAGGUGCAAAAGUUUCAUCGAAGUCUAUUCCUUCAACUUGGGUGUAGCCUUGGGCUACGAGUCGUGCCGUAUUCCUCACCACUUGACCAUCCUCAUCUUGCUUGUUUUGGAAAAUCCACUUGGUUCCGAUGAUGUUAUGCUUGCGAGGAUCUGGUCGUUUGACUAGCUCCCAUACGUCAUUCAGCUUGAAUUGAAGAAGUUCGUCUUGCAUAGCUUGGAUCCACUCCGGUUCCAAGAAAGCCUCAGCAACUUUUGAGGGUUCUGUAAUAGAUACAAAGGAAAAAUGCCCACAAAAGUUAACUAAAUGUGAAGCUUUUGAGCGAGUGAGAGGACCUGGCGCGUUGAUGUCGUUGAGGAUUUUGUCAAGUUCUAGUUCAUUUGCAAUCCUCGGAUGAGCUGGUUGAGGAUUUCGUCUGGGCUGAGGAAGUGGUUCUAGAGCAAUUUCCUCAGGAGCAUCUUCUUGAUUUUCAUCAGUGAUGGGGAUGGUUUCUUCAUCAAUUUCCUCAAUGGGAACAAUGUCUUCAGUAGGCUUGAGCUUUAUUGCUUCCGCAGGAGAUAACUUAUCUGGAUCAGAAGGCAAUUGCUCUCUUUGCGAGCCAUUAGUUUCAUCGAACCACGCAUCUACAGUCUCAACAACUUUGUUGUGAUAGUUGUUGAAGACUCUGUAGGUGUGCGAGUCCUUUCCAUAACCGAGCAUAAAACCCUCAUGUGCCUUAGGUGCAAAUUUUGAGCUAUGGUGAGGAUCUCUAAUCCAACAUUUUGCACCGAAUACUUUGAAAUAACUUACAUUGGGUUUCUUAUCAAUGAGGAGUUGAUAUGAGGUUUUCUUGAGGAAUUUGUGAAGAUAUACCCUGUUGAUGAUAUGGCAUCCAGUGUUGAUUGCUUCAGGCCAAAAGCGACGAGGAGUCUGAUAUUCUUCAAGCAUAGUUCUUGCCAUCUCAACCAGAGUCCUGUUCUUCCUUUCGACGACACCGUUCUGCUGAGGAGUAUAAGGAGCAGAUAAUUUGUGAGUAAUACCAAGUUCAUCAAGAUAAUCAUCAAGACCAGUGUUUUUGAACUCUGUUCCAUUAUCACUCCUGAUAUGUUUGAUCUUGAUGCCAAAGUUCGUCGAGGCCCUUGAAGAAAAUCGUUUGAAGAUUUCCUGUACUUCAGUAUCAUAUACUAUGAUAUGCACCCAUGUAUAUUUGGAAUAAUCAUCAACUAUGACGAAGCCAUAUAAAGAUGUUGCAUUGGUUAGUGUGGCAUAGUGAGUAGGUCCAAAUAGAUCCAUAUGAAGCAAUUCGAAGGGGCGUGUAGUGGUCAUGAUAGUCUUCGGGGGAUGCUUGGACCUGGUUAUUUUCCCAGAUUCACAUGCACCGCAGAGAUGAUCCUUGAGGAAUUUGACUGAUUCGAUGUCGAUGACAUGCUUAUUCUUCGCGAGUGUGUGCAAAUUCCUCAUGCAUGCAUGACAUAGUCUUCAGUGCCACAUCCAUCCUUCUGAGGUCUUUGCUAGUAAGCAAGUGGAUGGUUGAGGACCUGUAGAGAAAUCAACAAUGUACAAAUCCCCUCUUCUUACACCUUCGAAGACUUUGGAUCUGUCAGAUUCCAUGAUGACUACACAUCUAUAUCUACCAAAGAUAACAAUCAUAUCAAGAUCACAAAGCAUCGAGACUGACAUGAGGUUAAAACCAAGGGAUUCAACAAGCAUCACUUUGUCCAUAUGCCUAUCCUUGGAAAUAGCACUUGCCAAGUCCCAAUACCUUGCUUUUACCUUUGUCAGCAUAUGUGAUUUGCUUCAGAGGUGAUGGAGUCAGUGGCAUAUUCAUCAGCAAGAUUUUAUCACCAGUCAUGUGAUGUGUGCAGCCACUAUCAAGAACCCACUCAGUAUUCUUGGGUUUAUCAUCCUGCAGAUGAAUUAGUACAGCUUACCAUCUCAUAUGCUUCAGAUUUGAAGAAUAUGAUAUCAAUUUCAUCAGAUAAGAAUUUCAUCAUAACAGAAUUAAAGGACGUGUGAAAUAUUUCUAUUCCAUCAAUAUUAGCUUGCGUCCUAUCAAGCAUUUCCUUAGGUCUCCAGCAAAUUCUUCAGAUGAUGAUUUUCAUCUGGAGACCUGACCUGCAGAAGUGAUAAGUUCGAUUUCUUCACCACCCACAUCUGAAGGGGUGGUAAAGCAGUCAUCAUCCUGCGAGCACCAUAUGAGAAAGGUGACAUUGAAGCUAAUGCACUUCUCUUAACAGUAGGGGGUUAAAGUACUCAUAUGAAUAUGAAGAGAACUGGUUUGAGGAUUUAUGAACAUAAUGAUUUGAAGAGUAAUGCUCAUAUUCAUAUUCCUUGUAGUUUCCCUGCGUGUUAGACGCAUUAGCACGGGUAGGAGCAUAAUUUUGACCAGUUGAUGAUUUUGAUCCUCUUGAAGACUUUGGUCCUCCUGACGAUUUUGAUCUGGGGUUCAGAUUCUUCAUUGGUGGUGUCAUGAGGACAUUCACCUGAAGAUUUUCAAGACAACUUUUGGGAACCCAGAUUUUCCUCAAAGGAGGGCCAUUCCUGCAGUUAGUUCCAACAUAUCGAGCAAAUACUUCACGAGAUUGAUUUUUGAACAGUUUAUAGUUGGAGUCAAAUGACUCAUCUAAGGAAUAGGAUAUUUCACAUGAAAAGCCACUUAGAUUGGAUGGAUCAAAAGGAGGCCCAGUAGCAGCAACCCAUGAGGUUUUGGGAUACUGCUCAGGUUUCCAAUAAGAUCCAUCUGCAUUUAAUUUCCUCUCAAAGGAAAUUCCUUCUUUCCUCGGGUUCCUGUUCAAGAUCUGCUUUUUGAGCACAUCACAAAGGGUUUGAUGUCCUUUGAGGCUUUUGUAUAUGCCUGUCACAUACAAUUCCUUCAGCCCUGCAUUUUCAUCAGUAACAUUUGUGUUUUCCUCGAGUGAGGAAAUUGACAAUACAGGAGCAGUUGAAGAAUUUGUAGCAAUAGAAGCAUUUGAUGAUUCUGGUGAAGAAUUAGCAGUUUCACGUUCAAUGCAUUUAAGACAUGGAGGAAUGAAUUCAGCUUGAGCGGCGCUGAUCUGUUGAGCUAGUAAUGAAUCAUUUUCCAUCCGAAGAUCAUCAUGAGAGAUCCUCAGCUUCUCUAGAUCAAGCUUCCUUUGAAGAAAUUCAUAGGAAAGUUUCUCAUGAUCAGCGAGGAGUGUAUCAUAACGAUCUUGAAGAUUAUCAAAUCUAGACUGGAGACUUUUCACAUCUUCAGUGAGGAUUUGGGACAGAUUCAUUUCACCAUUCAAUAGAUCAUCACUUCUAUCUAGCAGUUUCUGAAGCUUUUCCAGGGCAGUUUGUUGUUUAGUGGCAAUGAUAGCAAGUUUACUGUAACUAGGUUUUUUAUAGUCAUCAGGUUCACAGUCACUUGAAUCAGAGGAGGAAGCAUCAUUCGGUACCUUUGAACCUUUAGCCAUGAAGCAAUAGGUUGGAGCGAAGUCAUCAGCAUAGUCAUCAGUGUGGAUGGUGUGAUCAUCUUCUUCAAGGUUGAAGAUUGACUUGCUGAUGAAAGUGGUUGCAAGUGCAAGACUGGCCUAUCCGGAUUAUGAGUCUUCAUCAGAACCCUCUUCUUCAUCACAUUCCUCUGAUUCUGCCUCGGAAUCCAUUUCCUUGCCAAUAAGUGCCCGAGCCUUUCUGAAACUAGUCUUCUUGUGCGAUGAGGGCUUUGAAGAUGAGGAUUUUGAAGAUUUCUUCUUCUUCUUCGAGUCAUCAGAACUGUCAUCCUUGUAUUUCUUCUUCUUUGAUUCCUUUCCCCAACAGGGACAAUCAGCAAUGUAAUGACCUGAUUUCUUGCAUUUGUGGCAGGUUCUUUUCUUGUAGUCCUUAGAUGAAGAUUCUGAUUUCCCCAUGUCUCUUCUUGAAGAUUUACCGAACUGGCCACGUCGUGUAAACCUCUGGAAUUUCCUCACGAACAUUGCAAGUUCCUGUCCAAAUUCUUCACGGUCACCAAUGCUAUCAUCUGAAUCUUCUUCUUCAGAUGAGGAAAUUGCUCUAGCCUUCAGUGCACGUGGUCUGGAAUAGCUUGGUCCAUAUUGAUCUUUCUUUUCUUCUAGCUGGAAUUCAUGAGUAUUGAGUCUUUCGAGUAUAUCAGCUGGAUCAAGCAUCUUGUAGUCUGGUCUUUCUUGAAUCAUCAGUACUAAAGUAUCAAAUGAAGAAUCCAAAGAUCUUAGAAGUUUCUUCACAACUUCGUGAUCAGUAAUGUCUCGAGCUCCCAGUGCUUGCAGUUCGUUUGAUAUGUCAGUGAGGCAAUCAAAGGUAUCUUGGCAGCUUUCAUUGCCAUGCCUCUUGAAGUGAUUGAAGAGAUUGCAAAGAAUAUCAACACGAGAGUCACGCUGGGUUGAUACUCCUUCAUUUACUAUGCACAGUCUCUCCGAGAUAAGUGUUGCAGAGCCCAAAGCACUCACUCUUCCAAACUGGCCUGGGCUCAGAUGGCCACAGAUGAUAUUCUUCGCUUGAGAAUCAAGUUGCUUGAAUUUCUUCACAUCAACAGCAGAGACACUAGAAGAGAUGAUGGGGAUGCCAUGUUCCACAAUAUACCAGAGAUCAUUAUCAAUAGCUUGUAGAUGCAUUUGCAUCUUGUUCUUCCAGAAGGGAAAGUUCUUUCCUUCGAAAGUAGGACAUGUUGCUGUAACCUUAAACAUGCCUGCAGUCGACAUAACUAAAACUCCACGUGGUUAAACCAAAAUCACACAGAACAAGGGAGUACCUUGCUCUGAUACCAAUUGAAAAUGCGUUAUAUCGACUAGAGGGGGGUGAAUAGGAGAUUUUUAGAAUUUCAUCACUAAGGAAAUUCCUUUUGAGGAAAUUCCUCACUGAUGACUAACUUACAGCGGAAACAGUAAAGGAUCAGAAGUGCAAAGUUUCACAACAUCAUUUUUUCAGUGUGAGGAAUGUGAAAACAGAUUGCACAGUGAGCAGGCACACAGAAAACAGAUGAGGAUUAACUAGCGUGAAGAAUUUGGGGUUGAGGAAUUUCAGAGAAAGUCUUCAGCAAAUUCUUGAAACAGUCACAGUGAAAGUCAUCAACACAUAAUCUGAGGAAAGUAAGGAGUUGAGGAAUUAGAACCCGUUUCACAGUGAAGACAGUAGUUGAUGACCCAGUUCCAACUGAUGUGACAGUUGUACAUCUGGUUUGGAGCGGCUUGGUAGUGAAACCACAGGACACACAAUCCUGGGACACACAGUCCCUACCGUAUUCUCCUUGAUCUAAGAACACACAGUCCUCGCCCAACACUCGUGGUAAGUCUUCAGGGCAGACUUCCAAACCCUCACAAACUUGGUCACCCGGCAAUCCACAAUUGACUGCUGGAUUGCUCUAGACCAUGACGCCUAACCGUCUGGAGGAUGCACAGUCCUCAAAGGUAAAAGGCUUUAGUCCCACACAGGAACAACUUCUUCAGUGAUGCUUAAUCACUUGGUUCUAGGUUUGUGGUUUGGUGUUCGGGGUAUUUCCUCACUGAUGAAUUACUCUCAAAGACUCUGAGGAAUUGGGUUGCUCUUAUGACAAGUGUCAGUUUCUAACGGAGCAGCCAACCAGCUAAUGGUUGUGGGGCGGCUAUUUAUAGCCUGGGAGCAUCCCGACAUGAUUUGACACUAAUGCCCUUAAAUAAUAUGACCGUUGGUGUGGAUAAGACCAAUGAUGUGGCGUGGCUAUCGAAACAGUCAGAACCCUCAACUGUGAGAGUCCUCAUGUCACUCGUAUUCCUCACUUGAGGCUUUUGGUAGGAUUAGGCUUGGGUUGAGCAUCAUGAGGAAAUUCAUUCCAAAGUGUAACUUCGACCCCUUUAACAGUACGGUGUUCCUAUUACUCAAGUGUGAAGAAAAUAAAACAGAAAGAGUAAAUCUUCAUGCUUCAAAGUCUUCAGAAUGAUUUUCUUCAGGACACACCGAAUUCCUCAAUUUCAAUAUCUUCAUGAGGAAUAUCAAUUUCAUCGCAGAUUCUUCGCGAUUCAGUUCUUCAGCUUCAGACCAAUUUCUUCAACCGAAGAUAUACAUUUUUAGGGGUCGAUAUUCAUCAAAUAUUUCAAACUCCUCAGUGACUUAUAGAUCUUUUGUACACUCAAUAACACAUUAGAUACUUAACCUAUACGUAUUCAAACCACCAAAAUCACUAAGGGGCACUAGAUGCAUUUACACUCGGGCUCCUCCUCCCGAAUCCAGCACCACUUUCCCCGCCAUUCUUCCCACUUCUCGCGGAAGACCCCUUAUGGGUAUAUAUCCUUGCUCCAUGUCCUUGGGAUCCAGGUGAUGGAACCAGAAAGGGCAUCUCCCUUUUGAAUCCGAGGAAUGAAGUAGUGGCGGAAAAGGGCCGUGUUGGGGGUUACUCUGGCAAAGUUUUGACAAAGGUGGCCGAACACAAACAUGCAUGUUACCGCAUUUGGCGUAAAAUCCAAGAGACGGAAGUCGUAUGUGUACAUGAUAUCGACGAAGAAAUCAGAGAAAGGGGGACAAAGCCCGCAGUAAAAGUAGUGGGUGAAGAAAGGAAAUUUGUCCGGGCCAUCAGCGGAAGAACCUGGAUUCACGCGAGUAGCGGGUGCGCCUUUGUAUCCCUCGCCCACAUGAACAGAUAUCGACCCCUCAGAGUUGUCGCCUCAAGCCCUGGGGGGAAGACAACAAGCUUCUUCCGCAUAUUCGCCAGCUCGUUCUCCGAGACGACGCCUUUCCCCUUGCUUGCCUUCGACGGUAUGGCAAUAAUGGGGCUAGAGGCCGAAGAUGGUGGGGACUUGGAAGCGACGGAUGGAUGGGGAAGCUCUAUGUUGCGCUCGAGGAAGAAGACGAUGGCAGUUCCAAGAUUGGAAAGGGCAAGAGGUAAUGGGUAAGCACAUCUAUGGUUUCCUCUUUAUGGGGGCGACGUGGGAACGCCUCUUGGCUAGCCAGAAAACGCUCCUCCACGCACGCGGUCAUUUCGGUCGCUCUGUCCAUGCCUCCCACGUCGCGCAUUCAAAUGUGCGUCAUGGGGGGAAGGGGCGCAGUAACUGAAAUAAUUACAACCGCACACUCCUACCACGCGUGCCCGUGCACUGUUGGGGCCUAGCCCAACAAUGCCUCGCACCCAUGUAUGGCCAAGGCUCGGGGGCUCCUGUCGGUGUACUAAAGUUUGGGCCUUUAGUACCCCUUACUUGUGCACGGGCUGUUGUAGCCACAUUCGUGGCAAGGCCUGUCGGGGAUAGCUGAAGGUAAAUACGAAGAUGGCAAGAAGAUGUUCAAGCCAACGACCAAAAGACUGAAGACCAAUGGCAAGGAUCCCGGCAAGAUCUUUGUCGGGAUAGCUAGCGGAGCCCCGGCAAGACGUGCGCCCGGCAAGAUCCCACCAACUUGCCACUUAUCCAGCACAGUGGCGAGGUGUCGUUCCUCCUGGGUACAUGUCGAGUGAUGAUGGGGGUUGAGCAGUGCCGAUGGGACGCGUCCAUGUCCCGUGUCAUAGAGGGUCACGGACGCCUGACGAAGCAUUUAAUGUGUUCGUCUUAAGACGUCAGUAAACACUUUAAUGACUGUACACCCCGCGUGUGCACUGUACAACUGUGCACCCCGUGGGUGCCCUGUUCGCCACUGUUGGUGACCCUUUGACAUAUAAAAGGAGGCCCAAGGCGUAACUUAGGACGGGGACUCUCGGAUCUACUCUCCUAGGGACUCUGGCAUCUACUCUCACAUCUGAUCCACGAGAUCUCUAGGGUUUUAGACUCUCUGCAUACCUGAUGUGUAAUACAUAGCGCAACUGUAGCUAGAUCCAUAGAACACUCAAUACACCUAAGGCAGGAGUAGGGUUUUACGCUUCUCAAUGGCCCAAACAUGGGUAAAACUCCCUCUCAUUGAUCGUUGGUUCCGCUCUUGGUGUGAUCCACUCUCCCCGCCGAACCAUAAAGGGAUCCACACGAUCCCAUAGGUGUCAUUUCCCGACACCUUGAAGCACUCACCUCCCCAGCAACGGCACCAGAAAAGAGCUUGAUGUCUACUAUGCAACUUUAUUCUUGUAGACGUUGAGGACCUCAGUGUCAAGUUAUGUAACUGGGUUGUACUUCUAACAUGCUUCAGCAUUUUGAACCUCACUCAAUACAUGAGCGUGAACCAUGGAUAUAUGCAUAUGAAUGAAAGGAAGGAUAUAGAUAGGGUACUCCUUAAUCAACAACCUAUCCUUAAGCACAAUCUACUUGUUGACAUUUUAGGGGAUCCUCCUCCACCCAAGGGAGAUCCGAUAUUUGAGCUUAAGGUUGUACCGGAUACUUUGAAAUAUGCUUAUCUUGGUGAAAAGAAGAUAUGCGUGUUAUUACCAGUGCUAACCUUUCACAGCAUGAAGAAAAGAAAUUACUCAAAGCACUAAAGAAGCACACGACUACUAUUGGAUAUACUCUUGAUGAUCUCAAGGGCGUAAGCCCAUUCUCGGUCAACACAAGAUUAAUAUGGAAUCGGAUGCUAAACCAGUCAUUGAUCAUCCAUGUCGUCUCAACCCUAAGAUGAAGAGGUGGUAAGAACUGAAAUACUAAAACUUCUAGAAGAAGGUAUAAUUUAUCCUAUUGCUAAUAGUAGAUGGGUAAGCCAUGAUCACUGUGCUCCUAAGAAAGGUGGUAUAACCAAUGUUCCUAAUGAUAAAAAUGAACUUAUUCCACAAAGGAUAGUAACUGGUUAUAGGAUGGUAAUUGAUUUCAGGAAAUUGAAUAAGGCUACCAGAAAAGAUCAUUGCCCCUUACCUUUUAUUGAUAAAAUGUUAGAAAGAUUAUCUAAGCACACACACUUUUUAUUUCU
rnacentral:lncRNA from 1 species